rnacentral:rRNA from 1 species
GUCGAGCGGCGGACGGGUGAGUAACGCGUAGGAAUUUACCCAACAGAGGGGGAUAGCCCGGGGAAACCCGGAUUAAUACCGCAUACACUCUACGGAGGAAAGCAGGGGAUUCAUUUAUGAACCUUGCGCUGUUGGAUGAGCCUGCGUGAGAUUAGCUAGUUGGUGAGGUAAAGGCUCACCAAGGCGACGAUCUCUAGCUGGUCUGAGAGGAUGAUCAGCCACACUGGGACUGAGACACGGCCCAGACUCC